UACGUAGGGGGCUAGCGUUGUCCGGAAUCAUUGGGCGUAAAGCGCGUGUAGGCGGUUCGGUAAGUCCGCUGUGAAAGUCGGGGGCUCAACCCUCGAAUGCCGGUGGAUACUGUCGGACUAGAGUACGGAAGAGGCGAGUGGAAUUCCUGGUGUAGCGGUGAAAUGCGCAGAUAUCAGGAGGAACACCAAUUGCGAAGGCAGAUCUCUGGGCCGUAACUGACGCUGAGGAGCGAAAGCAUGGGGAGCGAACAGG
rnacentral:rRNA from 1 species